rnacentral:lncRNA from 1 species
CAUCACCAGAUGUUUUCAGUUCACGGGCUGUUUCUUUCAUCUGGUCUCCCUAUGGUGUGCUGGAGCUGCUCUAACUAGCUUAGACACUUCUAGUCCCAACUCCGUGUUCAGUGACAUCAUGUUGGUAGCUUGAGAUUUGCUGCAGGAGGAGUAUUUACACCAUGGAAAUUGGCAAGUGAUACAAUCACGGCUUUUGUCCCCCUCCUGGAAUGCCAGUUGAACAUUCACCAGCACACCAUUGUCAUCUCCAGCUCUUUGCUUGGAAGAUUUCUACUUAUCCUCCAAGACAGAGUGCUUCUCUCUGAAGCUUUCUUGGACUCCUACAGAGGAACAGGGAGAAGAAAGCAAUUCCUCUGUGCUAAGCAUCUGGGCUGGGUGCUUUACAUACAUAAUUCUCAUGCUUCUAUUAGAGCAGUUGCAUCAUAUUACAAGUAUUUGUGAUUGUCUCUCUGCUAAGUUCUAAGGGCAAAUAUUGCAAUCUAUAUUCACCUUUAAAACCCUAUGUGCCUUCAAGAUAUCUUGUAAAUUGUGAGUUCUUAGUGAAUGUCACAGUGUUUAAGCAGGAACUAGGAGGAAAAGCUGCAUUGCUUUGUUUCAUCUGUCUCUAGCCUCCCAGAGA